GCAAGUCGGACGAGAUCUUCGGAUCUAGUGGCGGACGGGUUAGUAACGCGUGGGAACAUACCCUUCUCUACGGAAUAGCCUCGGGAAACUGAGAGUAAUACCGUAUACGCCCUUCGGGGGAAAGAUUUAUCGGUGAAGGAUUGGCCCGCGUUAGAUUAGAUAGUUGGUGGGGUAAUGGCCUACCAAGUCUACGAUCUAUAGCUGGUUUGAGAGGAUGAUC
rnacentral:rRNA from 1 species